UCUUGUAAUUUCCUACCUGCUGAAUGCUCUAAAAACCCAGAGCUGAAAAGAAUAUAUGCUUAUCCUAAGACUGUGAAAAAUCACUGGUUCAGACAGAAAUCCAUGAGGGACUUCAGUACAUGGAGAAGAAGCUGUAUUUUAAAAAGGCGUAGCUCACCCAUGAUGCUGAUACUUUGAAUUUUAGUUCUGUAAUAACUCUCAGAUGGCUACACUCUGGUCCCAGUGAUUCACAUCUCUUGAAGUUUUCAUACUAUUCAUCAGUUUUGUCUUACUGCACCUCAGUUUCCUUUGUUGUUGUGCUCUCUUUGUGUGCUAUGAAAAGUAUCUGCAGAAGGAACUGGGAACUAAACUAAACAGAAGAAGGUGCCAAAUGCCCGGGGGACAGAGAACCAUUAGUUGCCUGAAACUUCUACAGCUUAUUUAAGUGUCUAGACUUCUUGUAAUGGGACUAAUGAUAAAUAGACAAGGGAAAAGUCUGGUACUUAUUCACAGGGAGAUGUGGAUGGCCAGUCUGUACACAGAUGGUUUAUCUGAGCUGUGUAUAAAAGCUGUGUAAAAAUGGAACACUGUGUCCAUUGCUGUGGACAAAAGGUCCAUACAUGUGUAUGUAUACAUAUGCAUGUACAGAGCCAGCAAAUGUCAGUGCUUUUGAUGUUUUAAAGAUUAAAUGAUUAGAAUGAUACGAUUCAGAAAAGCUUCCCUAAUAGUUAGGGAAUAUUCUAAUAUUUAGAAUCUAGCAUUUAUCCUUUAUCUCUGCUUCUUAUGUGUCCUAAGACUGCCAGCACCACCUUCCUCCAAAAGAACAUACCUGCAGCAAUUACAGCAAGCUUCUAACACCCUGUGGCUCUCACUUCCAGGCAGAAGAUGACAGUGGUUGGAAUUUUUUGUCCUCUCUGCUGGGACCCUACUCAAAAUUCAGUGAGUGAGUUUGUCUGCCUUGGAGGUUCCUUCUGUUGGCCGCUGCCUGGAUGGCAGCCCUUUCCAAAUCAGAAGCAGAUCCCACUGGGAAGCGACAGUCAUAUCUACUUGGAAUCCCAUGAAACCACUAUGACCAUCUGCACCCAAUUACAACAGCUGCUGGUGGUUACUUGAGCAGGGUUGUGGGAAAUAAAGGUCAGGCCAGGGUGGAGGCACACCAUCAAAUUCAUAAGGAAAAAAAAAGAUAUUUAUAUCUCACUGGAUUGUCUCUUCAAGAGAAUGUUCAAUAAUUUGUGGCAAGCAUAGUACUGAGUGUGUCUCAAAAGGCUACCUCGAUGUUGCAGUACAAUGAAGAUGGGUCAAAAUGGCACAGUGUUAUUUCAGUAUGAAUUUCUUUACUUCUCUAAUUAAUAUCUGACCCACCAAAGAUCUCUGCCAUAAAAUAAUACUUUUCCAGACUUGUAACUACUCCAGAAAGUGUUGAAUAGGGCUGAAAUAAUAUCCAACAUAUAAUAACUUUAGAUAAUGGGGGCUUAUGUACAAAUUGUGAAUAAAUAAAUUUGUCAAAGCCAUAGGUUACCUUCUCUAUUAUACAGCUAGACCUUCACAUAUUCCUGAUGGAUAAGGUGUUCUUUCACACCUUUUUUUUUCUUUAAAUGA